CCCUUAGAUGUUCUGGGCCGCACGCGCGCUACACUGAUGAAUUCAACGAGCAUAUUCACCUUGACCGAAAGGCCCGGGUAAACUCCGAACUUUCAUCGUGAUGGGGAUAGACUAUUGUAAUUAUUAGUCUUCAACGAGGAAUUCCUAGUAAGCGUGAUUCAUCAGAUCGCGUUGAUUACGUCCCUGCCCUUUGUACACACCGCCCGUCGCUACUACCGAUUGAAUGGCUUAGUGAGGCCCUCGGAUUGACGCUUUGUGGCUUUACGGCUGCUUUGUGUUGAAAAGUUGGACAAACUUGGUCAUUUAGAGGAAGUAAAAGUCGUAACA
rnacentral:rRNA from 1 species